rnacentral:tRNA from 1 species
GGAUGGAGCAGUGGUAGCUCGUCGGGCUCAUAACCCGGAGGUCGUAGGUUCGAAUCCUUCUCCC